GAGUUUGAUCAUGGCUCAGGACGAACGCUGGCGGCGUGCCUAAUACAUGCAAGUCGAGCGGAUCUUCAUUAGCUUGCUUUUGAAGAUCAGCGGCGGACGGGUGAGUAACACGUGGGCAACCUGCCUGUAAGACUGGGAUAACUUCGGGAAACCGAGCUAAUACCGGAUGAUCCUUUUCCUCUCAUGAGGAAAAGCUGAAAGACGGUUUCGGCUGUCACUUACAGAUGGGCCCGCGGCGCAUUAGCUAGUUGGUGAGGUAACGGCUCACCAAGGCGACGAUGCGUAGCGACCUGAGAGGUGAUCGGCCACACUGGGACUGAGACACGGCCCAGACUCCUACGGGAGGCAGCAGUAGGGAAUCUUCCGCAAUGGACGAAAGUCUGACGGAGCAACGCCGCGUGAGCGAUGAAGGCC
rnacentral:rRNA from 1 species